GAUGAAGAACGUAGUGAAAUGCGAAAAGUAAUGUGAAUUGCAGAAUUCAGUGAAUCAUCGAAUCUUUGAACGCACCUUGCGCUCCUUGGUAUUCCGAGGAGCAUGCCUGUUUGAGUGUCAUUAAUAUAUCAACCUUCUCUUUUUUGAGUUGUUUGGAUGUGGGGGUUUGCUGGCCUCUUAAAUGAUUCAGCUCCCCUGAAAUGCAUUAGCAGAACAACCUGUUCAUUAGCGUGAUAAUUAUCUAUGCUAUUGAAUGUGAGGGCAGUUCAGCUUUCUAACCGUCCUUGGACAAUUCAUCAUUAAUGUGACCUCAAAUCAGGUAGGACUACCCGCUGAACUUAAGCAUAUCAAUAAGCGGAGGA
rnacentral:misc_RNA from 1 species